GUGGGGAAUAUUGGACAAUGGGGGGAACCCUGAUCCAGCCAUGCCGCGUGUGUGAAGAAGGCCUUUUGGUUGUAAAGCACUUUAAGUGGGGAGGAGGCUUACCUGGUUAAUACCUGGGCUAAGUGGACGUUACCCACAGAAUAAGCACCGGCUAACUCUGUGCCAGCAGCCGCGGUAAUACAGAGGGUGCAAGCGUUAAUCGGAUUUACUGGGCGUAAAGCGCGCGUAGGUGGCCAAUUAAGUCAAAUGUGAAAUCCCCGAGCUUAACUUGGGAAAUGCAUUCGAUACUGGUUGGCUAGAGUAUGGGAGAGGAUGGUAGAAUUCCAGGUGUAGCGGUGAAAUGCGUAGAGAUCUGGAGGAAUACCGAUGGCGAAGGCAGCCAUCUGGCCUAAUACUGACACUGAGGUGCGAAAGCAUGGGGAGCAAACAGGAUUAGAAACCCGGGUAGUCC
rnacentral:rRNA from 1 species